CAAGUUUAUUGGGAGGGCCCAUCCAGUGAGCCCUCUGGAGAAUUCCAAGCUAUGGCUUGCUCUCUCUGUCCUUUACAAAUAGGUCACUGGCUUGGCUGGACAAUACACUCCGGGAACUUCAGAACGUUGAAGGUGGUGGCACCUCAGACAUGCUCUGAUGAGAGGAACCCCUUACCUCCCAUGGAAGGAACCAGGGUCUCAAAAAGGCAGAGGCUUAUCAAAGGUCACACUCAAGGCUCGAGCCACAUCUCCUUUGUCUCUCUCCCUGCCCUUAUCCAGACCUCCCUCCCUUCCUGUCCUCCCUCCCGUUCCUGCUCUCCCUGCCCUCUCUGCAGCUGCUCCAGCCCGUGGGAGUUUGCCCCCACAUUCGGUCACUGUUCCUACCAGAGCCAGCAGCUGACAGACGGAGCCAAGGCCAACCAGGUACUGAGGAGGGGUAAGGGAUGGAGGCGAAACCUUUACCCAUGAGCAGCUUAGAAUGAGUGACGGCUAACAACUGAAAUCAAAAGAAAACAAAUGAAACCCGAGGGAAGAUGAGUCCUGUGAAUGCGACAUUCAGGAGCUCAGAGCACCAGCGCUUCUUCCAACAAGGAGGCAGUCCACGUGAUGAUGCUCAAGAACUCCCCCUUGAGCCUGCAUCCCUGAGCCAUGAGAAGAGCUGCCCACAAGCUGUUUUCUGACUUAGCGAUUUCCAGACCCAGCACCAGGAGUAUCACCAGGGAAUCGGUCUCCGCCUUUCCGCCAGUCGCGCAGAGUUAGAAACUGUAAAGCUCAUAGUUCUGGAGGUUUGGAGUCCGAGAGCGCAAGGCCAACAACUGCUCAGCAUCUUCUGAGUCCCAGCACGGCACACGGCACACGGCACACGGCACACGGCACCACAGAGCCAGAUGGAGCAAACACGCUAGCCCCAGUCUCUCCUCUCCCGACGAAGCCAUGGAUGCAACCCGGACUUAACACCUUCAUGAGUUCAUCGGAUCCCAAUCCCUCCCAAAGCCACCUUUUCCGAGUACCAUGCUCAUGCUGAUUUGGACAUCAAGUUUACACAGGCAUUGUAAACUAUGUGGGUCAUAGGUAAAUUGAGUUGAGACCCAAACCCAGGCCCCCACAUUCUCUAGUUCUAGGUAUUUUGCUUCAUGCCCUUGAAAAGUCUCCAAUUUUCCAGUAACCAUGUACCACAUAUCUACAACUCAGGUCAUGGUUUUCCUAACCAAUCAAUCUUCCCCAGAUAGCCUGAAAUGGAAGGGGCUAAAGAGAGGCCAAACCUGCUCGAGUUGGGUUUGUUUUAUUUUUGCUCGUAAUAUUCUUUUAAUUUAAUGCAUCUGAGUAUGACUAGUUUAGCUAUGUACCCUUUUCUGGUUCUACUUCUCCUUUUUCCUUUUUCCUUUUUUUUUUUUUAAGACUUCAUACACCACAUUCUCAGCCCUGCUCCUAACCCCUCCCAGACCCAUCUUCCUUCCCCCUUCCUCAACUUUGUGUCCUCUUUUCUUUCUUUCCACCCAUCAAGUUCAUUUGUGCUCCCUGUGUAUUCUUGGACUUGUGGCCUUCCGUUGCCAUGGGGUUGAGUGACAAGUGCCAGCACUCUUCAAAACUGCCCACCCCCAGCAGCUAUCUUGCUAAUGGCUCCUCUGCUAGGGGUGGGACUUCCUGUCCACCUCCUCUCUCCAUCCUGGACUUUGGUUUGGCUUGAGCUUGCCUGGGACUUGUGCAUGCAGUUAUAACUACUGUGAGUUUACAUGUGCGGACGCAAAGAAUCAGUGAAAUGAGGAAUUGGUUCUCUGUAAAGAUUAACAGGACCAACAAAUCUCUAGCCAAAUUAACCAGAGAAAAGGAGAGGAGCCACGUUAAUAAAAUCAGAGAUGAGAAGGGAGACAUUACAUUAGACACUGAAGAAAUUCAGAGAAUCUUAAGGACUUCUUUUAAAACCUCUAUUGCACCACACUGGAAAAAAAUCUAAAGUUAAAUAGAUAAAUUUCUAGAUGCUUAUGGCUUACCAAAGCUAAAUCAUGAUGAAAUAAAUAGUCUAAAUAAAUCCGUAUCAUCCAACAAGUUAAAAGGAGUCAUUUUAAAUCUCCCAACUUAAAAAAAGCUCAGGGCUAGAUGAAUUAAUUGCACAAUUAGACCAGACCUUCCAAAAAGAACUAAUACCAAAUAUUCUUAAAAGCCUUCACUAAAGUGGGCGAGGAAGGAACACCUGCAGAGAACCACACCUGGGCUUCUAUGAGCCAAAGCCGAAAGCACUGCAGAGGACAGCAAAGGAGAACCGAAGAAUCCCUCCCCUUUUCUCCCAGACCUCCCUUCUGUGGUCCCAGCUCCCAGUGCAGACCCCUUCCUUCUGGGCUCUGUUCACACAGGUUUGUCCUGGAUCCUCCAGCUGUUCAGGCACUCCCCCUGUAUGUCAGAGUCUACGGAUUGCAUCCUUUUCCUGCAGGACGUCGACCUCUCCGUGAACACACCCAUAACUGGCCUCCCUGUUUGAAGUAGACUGGACCCUGACUGGUAACAAUGAGUGUUGCUGAGUUCCUUCUCAUAGCAAGCAAAAGCAUCCUAGGUAGCCGUUCAGCUUUCUGUCACCAUGACAAAGCAUCUGACACGAUCAAAGGCGAAAGGUGAUGGGAACUCGCGGUUUCGGAAGCUUCCACCCACCCGUUGCGUAGCCCUGCUACCUUGGGUCAGUGGGCGCGCAGGAUGUCAUGAUGAGGAGGCUUAUUCCAUGAGGAGGCUGGCAAGCAAAAGGAGAGAGAGUUGACAAGCAUGCAGGAUCUCCCCCUAUGGCAUACCACUCGUGACUCAAGUUCCUUUUGCUCGGCCACGUUCUAGGGUUCCCACUCCCCUCAAAAGGAACAACCCUUCAAGGCACGGGUUCUUUGAGGAUAUUCAGGAUCCAAACUACAACAACUGUUCUACACUAAAGAAACUAAUCAGAAAACUAUGCAGCAAUUUUGAAAAUUAAUGCAUUGGAGCAUACACCUAUAAUUCUGGGACUGUGGAGGUGGAGGCAGGAGGAUCAGAAUCUCCAGGCCAGUGUUCGCCACUCACCUCUGCUCCUUCGAAGAGAAAGAUCCCCUCUAGAACACGCCUGCAGAAACAAUUGCCUCUGAGACUGUUUCCUGUGGAAUCCGUGCCUGGAAUGGGGACAACAUCCGCUGGGAGAUUCAGGGACUUUUACUAGUCCUCUGUGAAGCUCUGCCACCAGGAAUCCAGCAGCAAAUGCCUAGAGCUGAUUCCACAAAGGAUAUUGCACAAAAUCUGUGCACUUCUCUGUGCCAGUAGAGAUAAUCCCUUGUGUACUCUGUAAAAGCAUUCAUUCACCUGUCCUUAAAAAGCUCUUUGCCAAUGAGCUUGAGGAAGGAUUGGAAGGCAGGACAUCCGGCAGAGAGAGAGGAAUUCUGGGAGCGAGACGGGCAAGAGGAGACUCAUUCAGACAUAGAGGAAGAUGGUCGCCCAGAACAGAGAACCAGCAUUUGGGGAAGCAGCUAAAUGUACUGUUCUUUCUUUUUGUGGAAAUACUGAAAGUUAGCUCCUAUCUGCCGCUUCCGGAACCUCACCCCACUCCCA